AGUCAAGCAAGUGAAGCCAAAAACAUGGCGGAUUUUCAAGGAUUUUCACGUUUGCUGACGCCAGAAUGACGCCACUGGUCCCAAAUCCUCGUGGUAAUUACCACUGAGCAAGGCUCAUUUUGAGCCCGCUACCACUUUCUCAUCCCCCUGAUUUUCACAAAAAUAUUUUAGCUUUUUGUUUUGAAGUUUGCCUCGGUGUUUGCCUUCUCUUCAGUCGACAUUUUAACAUUUGUUUCGAGUUGCACAAGUGGUAAGAAUCAUCCUGGCUAGUGAAAGACAGGGAACGAAUCUUCAAACCUCAAGAAAUUUUGGAAAGACGUUAUUUGUAAAGGUAAAAAAAUACUGUUUAUAUGUUCAAUAUUAAUUUGUGAUAGAGUAUGUCAAAACAAAGCGAAAUAAACAGCCCAUUUGUACUGUGUAGUGGACAAUUUUAGCAACUGAUGUAUACAAUUAAGUUGCCCAAACUAUAUUAAUACGAGAAACAGUCUUCCUCGAAAGAAAAUGGUUGAAAUUUCAGAUUUUAGUUUCAUUUGUUUAUAUUUCAAAUUUUACGAUAUAAAAUGCCAGUCGACCACCAUCUGCUUCAUGAUCAUACUUAUUAAAAUUAAAGUGGUUUCUAUUAUAUUAGUAUACCUAUAGAGGAAGACCUUUUUAAGCCAGAACUAUCAUGGCUUGGCUUUGAAUGAUUUAAUCCAUGUACUUUAUAGUUAACUGGCCACUGAUGGCAAUGAAAUUAUAAUGACUAAUGUGUAGAAUUAUCAAGUCUAGAUCCAAAAAUUGGCAGUUUCAUAUAUAAGAUCAGGCAUAUAUAAGAUCAAAGCUAGUUUCAUAUAUAAGAUCAGGUUUAGAGGCCUGUAGCAUUUUCUCUAGAAAUUGCAUGAGUAAAAUCAAUUUCAUAAUUAACCCGUUGAGCCGCAAUGCGCCCUAUUUAUUUUUUUACUUGCCAGAUGAUUUUACUUGUCAAUGGGGAAGCUCUGUAGCUUAUCGGUUAACCAAAAAAAACUGACAAUGUCUCUAGUUAACCUAUUGAGCCGCAAUGCGCCCCAGUGUGCCCUACUUUUUUUUUACUUUCUAAAGCCAGACAAUAUCACUCGUCAAUGGGGAAGCUCUGCAGCUUAGAUGAUAUUUGAUGUUGGUAAUUCAUGUAUAUUUGGAGGAAAAUAUUUUAGACAGUGGUUGUUUGCCUGACACCAAACCCCAAUAUUUACAUGCUAUUUGUCUAAGUGAACUAUUUUCCUCAUUCUUUCAACAUGCCAAAGUGAUACAAAAUAAAUUUCAGUUGAAUUCAAGCAAGUCCUCGGGCCCGUAAGUUGUCAACUGACGACUAUCACCUUCAUUGUUAGUUAAGUAUAUAUCUGCUUAAGUCCUGGGUUCAAAUGAGUGGAAUUUCAAGAGCAUUCUGACUGGCUUUGUGCAAACAGGGGGCCUUACCGGUUAGGAUGAGGGCCAGUUGAGGUGUUAGGGUUGGGUGCAGGCAAGGUUCAUGUAAACUUAUUGUUAGCAAGAAUCAGAGAAGGAUUUUCAUAUUUUUGUUCGGGGGGGGAUAAAUAUCUGGGGGGGGGGUGAUGCUGCUUGCUUUGGCCGGGGCCUGGUGGCAACACCUGGAAAGGCCAAGGAAAAAGUUUAACAAAAUUUGUUUUCUAUGUCUGCAUGGCAAGAUCUGAGACCAUAAUAUUGGUAAUUUUACAAAUUUAGUAGUAAGAAUAAUCAAAUAUGAAACUAUCAAAUCAAAAUAUAUAUAAUUUGUGG